rnacentral:rRNA from 1 species
AUUGAACGCUGGCGGCAGGCCUAACACAUGCAAGUCGAACGGUAGCAGGAAGAAGCUUGCUUCUUUGCUGACGAGUGGCGGACGGGUGAGUAAUGUCUGGGAAACUGCCUGAUGGAGGGGGAUAACUACUGGAAACGGUAGCUAAUACCGCAUAACGUCGCAAGACCAAAGAGGGGGACCUUCGGGCCUCUUGCCAUCAGAUGUGCCCAGAUGGGAUUAGCUAGUAGGUGGGGUAACGGCUCACCUAGGCGACGAUCCCUAGCUGGUCUGAGAGGAUGACCAGCCACACUGGAACUGAGACACGGUCCAGACUCCUACGGGAGGCAGCAGUGGGGAAUAUUGCACAAUGGGGGCGAGCCUGAUGCAGCCAUGCCGCGUGUGUGAAGAAGGCCUUCGGGUUGUAAAGCACUUUCAGCGGGGAGGAAGGGGGAAUGGUUAAUAACCAUUGUCAUUGACGUUACCCGCAGAAGAAGCACCGGCUAACUCUGUGCCAGCAGCCGCCGUAA